rnacentral:rRNA from 1 species
CCUACGGGUGGCAGCAGUGAGGAAUAUUGGUCAAUGGGCGAGAGCCUGAACCAGCCAAGUCGCGUGAGGGAAGACGGUCCUAUGGAUUGUAAACCUCUGUUGUCGGGGAGCAAAAAGGCCUCGUGAGGCCACAAGGGAGAGGACCCGAAGAAAAAGCAGCGGCUAACUCCGUGCCAGCAGCCGCGGUAAUACGGAGGAUGCGAGCGUUAUCUGGAUUUAUUGGGUUUAAGGGGUGCGUAGGCGGACUGGAAAGUCAGCGGUAAAAUCGAGCGGCUCAACCUCUUUCCGCCGUUGAAACUGUCGGUCUUGAGUGGGCGAGACGUAUGCGGCAUGCGUGGUGUAGCUGUGCACUGCAUAGAUCUCACGCAGAACUCCGAUUGCGAAGGCAGCAUACCGGCGCCCGCCUGACGCUGAGGCCCGAAAGCGUGUGUAUCGAACAGGAUUAGCUCCCCUAGUAGUC